UAUAUAGGUUAGUUACCAUCAUAGAGGUGGUCUAUAUAGGUUAGUUAACAUCAUAGUGGUGAUCUAUAUAGGUUAGUUACCAUCAUAGUGGUGAUCUAUAUAGGUUAGUUACCAUCAUAGUGGUGAUCUAUAUAGGUUAGUUACCAUCAUAGAGGUGGUCUAUAUAGG